rnacentral:lncRNA from 1 species
AAUUAAGCAAGCUAUAAUAAGCUAAUCAAAAGAGCCAAAUAUAUUUCAUCUCAUGAAUUCAAGCUCCUCCCUACAUUCAAAAACUCUAACAAAUAAGGAAAUAUAAGCAACAUUCAUGUUCCACGCCAAAGAAAACUAAUUUUGGCUCUCUAAAAUAGUACAAACAAUGUUUUCUACUGAACAACUUUCAAUCUUCAAAUAUCCCUAAGGAUGAAUUCACCUGGACCUAUUC